UACGUAGGUGGCGAGCGUUGUCCGGAUUUACUGGGCGUAAAGAGCGCGCAGGCGGUCGUUCAAGUCGCGUGUGAAAGCCCCCGGCUCAACUGGGGAGGGUCACGCGAUACUGAUCGACUCGAAGGCAGGAGAGGGAAGUGGAAUUCCCGGUGUAGUGGUGAAAUGCGUAGAUAUCGGGAGGAACACCAGUGGCGAAGGCGGCCUGCUGGGCUACUGCUGACACUGAGGCGCGACAGCGUGGGGAGCAAACAGG
rnacentral:rRNA from 1 species